rnacentral:rRNA from 1 species
CCUACGGGAGGCAGCAGUGAGGAAUAUUGGUCAAUGGACGAGAGUCUGAACCCGCCAAGUAGCGUGAAGGAUGACUGCCCUAUGGGUUGUAAACUUCUUUUAUAUGGGAAUAAAAUGUUCCACGUGUGGGAUUUUGUAUGUACCAUAUGAAUAAGGAUCGGCUAACUCCGUGCCAGCAGCCGCGGUAAUACGGAGGAUCCGAGCGUUAUCCGGAUUUAUUGGGUUUAAAGGGAGCGUAGGUGGAUUGUUAAGUCAGUUGUGAAAGUUUGCGGCUCAACCGUAAAAUUGCAGUUGAAACUGGCAGUCUUGAGUACAGUAGAGGUGGGCGGAAUUCGUGGUGUAGCGGUGAAAUGCUUAGAUAUCACGAAGAACUCCGAUUGCGAAGGCAGUUCACUGGACUGCAACUGACACUGAGGCUCGAAAGUGUGGGUAUCAAACAGGAUUAGAUACCCCUGUAGUC